UCAACGGAAAAAACCCUAAAAUAUUAAAAAACCUCUGUCCGAGUUCAUCAUCUUCACCAUUCAGCUUUGACGAAAUAUUCACGGAUAAAACUUCGAAGCUCUUCCCAGAGCUUCCAGUCUGAAUGUUUCAUCUGUUAAAUUGUCUGAAAAUUCGGUAUCUGCUGGACGAAGCACACCACCUGUUCGAUCAAAUGCCUAAGAGGAAGAUGAAUCAAACUGUAAGACGUUGGACCCUAACUUCUACCAAGGCUAUGAUUUGAUGUCUUCAAGUUCAAUAGCACAACAGCAUGCAUCAAUAAGUUUUGUCCAAGCGCAAGAACUUGAAAAUAAUGAUGAUUCUGAUCAACAAGUUGUUGAAAAUGGGAAAAUUGAAUGAAGAUGCUUAUGAAGAAAUGGAGGACAAGACAGUGGGAUUGCGCUCAUGGAUUAAUUAGACCUUUAAGUGGAAUAAUACUUUGUGCUUAUACUUAUUGAUUUUGAUAUUUAUGUUCAAAUAUCUGUUAAUAAACGUUCUUCUGACUAAACUGUAGAACAUGAGAUAUAUUAGUUGAGCUGCCCUGGAUUCUUGAUGCAUACAAGAAAUCGUCUUUUGAAUGUUCCUCAGCUUUGCAUUUGUUUAACCA